rnacentral:lncRNA from 1 species
CCAUUUGUGAGGGUGUCCAGCGCAGUCUUAAAGUCCGGGCCGGUUGUUCGGCAUCGUUUCCUGUCCUCAAUUGUUGCGGUUUUGCUGAAGGAUGCUUGAGCCGCUUCCUUAUCUGAAUUAGAGGUCUUCCUUGCCGCCGAGUUGUUGGAAGUGCGGACUAUGAAUUUCCUGUUCGCGAUUGGGAUGUUGGGAGAGGACUCGUUGUAGUGGUAGUAGGCUUAGGUAUAACAGCAAUUGGUUGAGCCACCUUCUCUUCAUCCUCGGGCUCCCAUAGGUAUUUGGCUGCCACUGAUGCUU